GUUAAGCGACUAAGCGUACACGGUGGAUGCCCUGGCAGUCAGAGGCGAUGAAGGGCGUGCUAAUCUGCGAUAAGCGCCGGUAAGGUGAUAUGAACCGUUAUAACCGGCGAUACCCGAAUGGGGAAACCCAGUGUGACUCGUCACACUAUCAUUAACUGAAUCCAUAGGUUAAUGAGGCGAACCGGGGGAACUGAAACAUCUAAGUACCCCGAGGAAAAGAAAUCAACCGAGAUUCCCCCAGUAGCGGCGAGCGAACGGGGAGGAGCCCAGAGCCUGAAUCAGCAUGUGUGUUAGUGGAAGCGUCUGGAAAGGCGCGCGAUACAGGGUGACAGCCCCGUACACAAAAGCGCAUGUGCUGUGAGCUCGAUGAGUAGGGCGGGACACGUGGUA
rnacentral:rRNA from 1 species